rnacentral:lncRNA from 1 species
ACCAGAAGAGGGCAUUGGAUCCCAUUACAGAUGGUUGUGAGCCGCCAUGUGGUUGCUGGGAUUUGAACUCAGGACCUCUGGAAGAGCAGUUGGUGCUCUUAACCACUGAGCCAUCUCUCUAGUCUCUUAAGAAAUUUUUUAAAGAUACAUCUUAUACAACAUAAUACCAAUCAUUUUGUUUGAAAAAUAACUUUUUGUAUAUAUUCAUAUGUGUGCAAAUACUGAGAAGUUAUGUGUCAAAAUUUUGUUAUUUUUUUAAUAGGAAAUUGGAUCUUUUAAUAUUUUACUGUACAGUAUGUAUUUUCUAUAUUAUGCAAGAUAGUUGUUGGUUGGUACUCUGUCUGAACUCCACCCCCAUAGUUACCUGGCAACAAUCAGGUAGGCCUGGCCCAUUAUAAAAGGGGCUGUGUGCCCUCUCCUCUUUCUCUUACCACUUGUCCCCUUCCCCUCUCUCCCCAUUCCUUUCCCCCCUCUCUCCAAGUGGCCUUGGCCGGCCUCUACUUCUCUACUCUCUCCUCCUCUCUGCCUUUUGCUGCCUCCACUUCCCUCCCCAUGCCCUAAAUAAACUCUAUUCUAUACUAUACCAUCGUGUGGCUGGUCCCUCAGGGGGAAGGAAUGUCUUGACAUGGGACUUCAGAAUCACCCCCUUCCCUACACCUCACCACACCCCAUAGAACAUAUCUUAAUAUUUCUUUAUCUUUUUAUGAUCACAACAAUAGUCAUCUUCUUUUGAACAUAGGAAUCAAAAUUGUUUUUUCAAGUUAUAGAAAGACUUAAAAUUGUUCAAGUAUAACAAACAUUUUCUCGAUGAGUUAUCAGAAAGUCUUUUGACCUUUUUCUUGAUAAAGUGUCUUAAGCUAAUCAUAAUGUGUAUUUAUUGCUGAAUUGUCUUGGAAUGUGAUAUAUAUUAUUUUAAUCUACUCUAUAUAUCAUUAUCACUAAUAAGUUUUUUCCAGUUGUAUCAUCUCUUAGAUAUGUUUUUAGGGCUUGCUAUCAUUGUUUUCUUUUUUUUUUUUCCCUGAGACAGGGUUUCUCUGUGUAGCCCUGGCUGUCCUGGAACUCACUUUGUAGACCACGCUGGCCUCAAACGCGAAAUCCGCCUGCCUCUGCCUCCCGAGUACUGGGAUUAAAGGUGUGCGCCACCACUGCCCGGCUGCUAUCAUAUUUUGUAUCACAGUUGAUUUUUACUAAAAAUUGAAAGGAUUUCUUAUAUGUACUAUGAAGAACAAUACAAUAACCAUGUAUCAUCCAGUGUUGACUCAUUUCAAUUUUGGUAAUAAUUCAAAAAUUAUAUUUGAUUGUCAUAACAUGCAUGCAUCUAUAUGACACAUGCCCAUUCCUCUGGCCUUACUGGUUAUAUUUAAAUUUUAAUUUUCUUGACAACUUUAGUACUUUAGAGUACUUUAAGCUGGUUUGUUAACAAAAUGAAAAUUCCUCAAGAAAUAAAGUUUUGCCAGAAUAAUGAAAUUAUAUUAACUUUUUUUUUUAACUGAAGCAGUUUGUGUUUAAUGACACUGUUAUCAGUUAUUUCUAAGUAAAAACAGUAAUAUAAUAUGUAACUCUAUUGGCCAACUUAACCUAAUCCACUACUGUGUGUCCCGCCGCGUGUCCCCCCCCCCCCCCCCCGUAAAUGGUGAGAUGAGUAAUCGUUUUCUUUGUUGUUAUCUCCUUAGUGGGAGAGAAAAUGGCUUGCAAGAGACUGAAGGUUGGUUUGAUCAGUUCAGCCUGGUACAGAGGACUGACAAGUUUUUGUGAUAUUGAUGAUAUUAUUUCAUCUUUUCUGCCUUCAUAUUCUUACCUAUAAGAUAGUUGUUGAGUAAAUGAUUAUUGUUUAGCUUUCUGAAUGUUUUAAAACAUAAUGUUGCCAUGAAGGAAAUAGGUGUUGUAUAUGUUGAAAGAAUAUAAAGGCUAUAGCAUUUAUUAUGAUACAUGUUAGUAGUCAGUCACAGACUACACAUAUUUCAGUAAAUCACUGCUCAAAGCUUAACAGGAAAAAUACUGAGAACAGAUUCUAAAGACAAUCUAAGAGCAAGAGUUACCAAGAUAAAAUUAACAGUUGGGUAGAUAUAAGAAUAUUAUGAUUGGCUAGCAUGUUCUUGGAGCAGAACUUUCCCACAUCUAUUUAAACUUUUUUUGUAUUUUCAAAAUUAAUGACUGCUUAGUAUUAUUGAAAAUAUACUUUUUAACUGUUAAAAAGUUUUGAUAAAUCAUUAUGGAAUGCUUAUGGUGUAACUUUGUAGUAAUCUUAUCAGUAAGUCCUUGACAAGGUAUUAUAAUAAUUUUAUAUUGAAAAUAAACUUUUGUUUAUGUUUUGUUUCCUUUGAAAGAUAAAUUUAAAAUCUAAAUUCUUAAAUAAAAAUGAAUUAUGCAGCC